CUUACUUUCAGGAACACCCUGCUCUGUCUAUGGAGUAGCUAUUCUUACAUUCCCUUAGUUUUUAAAAUAAACACGUAUUCACUUUCCUCUGUGGACUUGGUCUGAAUUCUUUCCUGCACAAGAUCCAAGAACCCUCUCUUGGGGUCUUGAUGGGGACAACUUUCUGGUAACUUCCUCCUGGUGAACCACAAAGGGACUAAUGAAGAGACCCCUGACCCAAAGGAAAUAAACUGCAACACCAAUUGGCCAACUUUGGCAGGUUUUCCGUCAUAAUGCAGCGUGCCUUAAGAACUGUCUCCUUUUUGAUGGAACUUGGCCAAUGGCAAUACAGUCUCACGGGUUUGGAAGUUUUCUUUCAACGUCAUCUGCCUCCUUUAUGGGGAAUACAGCAUGGAUCCCAGAGGACUCACCACUAGGAUGUAUUCUUGAACAUUGGGACAAGUUUAAACCAAAUGGACUUAAGAAAAGAAAGUUGGUGGUUUCAUAUAAUACUGUCUGGCCUCAAAUUACUAUACUUGGAAAAAUAAGAAAAAUGGUCAACUACCAGAACUAUGGCCUUUAAUACUAUACUUCCACUUGAUUUGUUUUGUAAGUGUGAGGGCAAAUGGGAUAAAACCAAUACGUUCAAGCAUUUUUAUUGCCCAGUCAAAAUAAAACUCUG
rnacentral:lncRNA from 1 species